GCCCACCCACCCUACAGACCAGGACCCUCCCACGCCUCCCCUGCACGGUGGGCCCUGUGCUUGCCCCGGGACAGUGCGGCUGCCUAGACUGCGUCCAGCCCCACGUGUCCUGCUCUGGGGCGCACCCAGCUGUCCCUUUAAGGAGCUGGGGGCUGCUGCUGGCACAGCGCACGGCCGGCCAGAGAAGAGACGGGCACGUUCCUGAUCCUUCUGGAAGGCUGGCUUGCAGAGGAGACAAAAUGUUCUUGCUCAGCUCAGUAAACAAGCCUGAAGUGCUUUGAAAGCCUCUGCCGAUACAAAGGACUGAAAAACACACAAGCCUGGCAAAAGGAGGCCCAGCUGCGGGAGGAGUGCGUGUGGGAGGGCAUCCGGGCUGCCCCCGGCCCCGGCUCCCUCUGGGUCACCUCAGAGGCCACCACGGGUGCGCCCGGGCUCCCCACCGCGGCCUGAGCGUGCAGAGAACCUAAUUUCUUUUCGGUGCAGCCCUUUCACGUGCAGGCGGCUGUGAUGCCGUCUCCUCCCUGCACCCCACCAUGAAGCGGGUGCCGUCACCCCAUUCUGCGGGUGAGGACGCCGAGGCCAGAGGAGAAGGGAUCAGCCAGGACCACACCCGGAGCCGCGGAUUUUACUUCUUGUUCCUGGGCCAGCAGCGAACCAGGUACGGGGAGACAGGCCCUGGUGCGGCCCGAGGUCAGAUGGACCCCCCUGUGGCCUGUGCCUCCCCGGGCGUCUCUCCCCUUUCCAAGCUGGGGUCCCGGGAGGAUUCGGGAGGACUGUCCACGGAGCAGCGGCUGCCUUCCCACAGUCUUCCGGGUCAGGGAGCUACCCCGCGGGAGAGUACCUCCACCGGCUAGGGGACCCUCUUCUGCAUCCAUCCCCCUGGUGAGAUGCCCACCACCCCGGGGCUCAGCCCCCCACCCCAGGGACACGCCUGGCCUGGCGUCCAGGGGUCAAGCAUGUGGCUCACCAGUCAGGAGCCCGGACAUCCUCUGAGAGCCUCAGGCUCGCCUCCCGAAAGGGAGGGGUGACUCACCCACCUGGAGAGCUAGCUCGGGGGACACACGUGUGACACGUGCCCGGCACACGGCAGGCCAGCACCGUCCUCCUUAGCAGGGUCCUCCCUCUGCCCCGCCUCCCGAGACAACCAGCACCCCCCACACCCCCACACCCCGCUCCAGGCCGCCUGGUGUGGGGUCCUCGUCCCGCUCAGGAGGUCUCAGAGCCCCGUGUCCACACCAAGGCGCUGUCAUUGGGAUCCCGGCGGCCUUCUUGGCGGGCGCCUCCGUGCCACGUGCUGGGCUCUGGGCCCCACCUCCAGCGCAAUCCGCCUGGCCGUCGUGCAACCCCAGGCAGGAAGCAGCACCUUCAGGAAGGUUCGAGUGACCCUCCUGGGCCGGGAGCCCUGCCGUCCAGCUGUGGCCACGCUCGGGGCGGGUCCGGGCCACCGGCCGGCCAGUCCACUGCAGGACCCACGUAAUCUGCCCAAAGCAGCACGGCUAGUUAGAAGUUUUAUUGAUUGAACACAAUCGAGUGGAAAUAGUAAAAGUUCUCCCGAUGUAACCCACUUUUUCUUAAUGGGUAAUCUCAGACACUCGAGUUUGUAUGUUAAAGGAGCUUUAGGACAAUUUAAUAGCUCAUAAAAUUUUAUAGUCCCAGUUGAAAUCAGAGUGAUAACUCUGGCCUGCACAGCUAUAGUUUGCUAAAUGUCUCUCGUCUUUUUUUCUUUCUUUCCCUUCCAUUUAUUGGAGAGUUAACAUCUGCUCGGCUAUGGGGCGGUGGGGGGAGACGGAAAGGAAAGGAAAAUAAUCAUCUGUUUCUCCAGAAGAGAGGGAAGACAUUCGGGCUCUCCCGGCAACAUCUCAGUUUCCAAGCACGUGGUUUUCCUUGAAGUCAGAAAGAGGUUGAGGUUGAAUAAGCCGCCUGGCCCACCGCUGCGAGGCAUCGGGGCCCCUCCGGUGACCGCUGGUCCUGGUCUGCCCCGGGCCGCAGCCACGUCCUGGGGUCGGCCGCAACCGGGAGGGGCCCGUCGAGAGUCACAACCUGGCCACUUAUAAAGUGCCCACUGUGCACACCGCCCGGAGGACCCACGGAGAAGGGCAACAUGAGCUCACUGCCUGGGAGGUGCUCACGCUCAGAGGCCGAGGCUGAGGUCCUCACCCGGGCAGACGGGCCAGAGGGGCCGCCCUUUGAAGGCUUCAUGGAGGAGGCGGAGACGGGACGGGGAGCCCGGGGGCGGGCAAGACGCAGGAGCCGCGUCCAGAAUCCUGGCUCCACCCGCACGGCCCCCAAGAGAAGAAGCGGGAAAAGGCGUAUGCCACAGCACGGGGAGCCCCCGACGCGUCCUGUCGCGUGAGCGAAGGCAGACGGGAAAGGUCGCGUGGUGUCGGGUCCCUUUUACGCAGAGGCAAGAGGCAGGUUGGCGGCGGCUGGGGCUCGGGCUCGGGGCCGGGGCUCCUCCUGGGGUGGAUGAAGAGGUUUCGGAACCGGGUAAAGAGGUGCUUAGCUGUGCCGCACCGUGACCGCGCUAAAUGCCGCUGGACUGCGCACUUUAAACUCGUUCCGUCCAUCGCGUGUGAAUUCCAUCUCAAUAAAACAAAAUUCCUUGAAGGGAGGAAA